CCUACGGGUGGCAGCAGUGAGGAAUAUUGGUCAAUGGGCGCGAGCCUGAACCAGCCAAGUCGCGUGAAGGAUGACUGCCCUACGGGUUGUAAACUUCUUUUAUCAAGGAAUAAAGUGAGGCACGUGAGCCUCUUUGUAUGUAUUUUAUGAAUAAGGAUCGGCCAACUCCGUGCCAGCAGCCGGGGUAAUACGGAGGAUCCGGGCGUUAUCCGGAUUUAGUGGGGUUAAAGGGAGCGUAGAUGGGGUGUAAAGUCAGUUGGGAAAGUUUAUGGCUAAACCGUAGAACUGCAAUUGAUACUGGCAGCCUGGAGUACAGGAGAGGUAGGCGGAAUUCGUGGUGUAGCGGUGAAAUGCUUAGAUAUCACGAAGAACUCCGAUUGCGAAGGCAGCCUACUAGACUGCCACUGACGUUGAUGCUCGAAAGUGUGGGUAUCAAACAGGAUUAGAUACCCCUGUAGUC
rnacentral:rRNA from 1 species